UACGUAGGGUGCAAGCGUUGCCCGGAAUCAUUGGGCGUAAAGCGCGUGUAGGCGGCCCGGUAAGUCCGCUGUGAAAGUCCAGGGCUCAACCCUGGAAUGCCGGUGGAUACUGUCGGGCUCGAGUCCGGAAGAGGCGAGUGGAAUUCCUGGUGUAGCGGUGAAAUGCGCAGAUAUCAGGAGGAACACCGAUGGCGAAGGCAGCUCGCUGGGACGUGACUGACGCUGAGACGCGAAAGCGUGGGGAGCAAACAGG
rnacentral:rRNA from 1 species